rnacentral:lncRNA from 1 species
UUCUUUAUUGUGGUUUCUGCAGGAAAGAGCCAUCAGGAAGGAAUUAGCCAGCCCUGGGAAAGACAGUCCCUCCAGAGUUAGCAAGACCCCAAGAUGUCAAAGAUAAAAAUGCAAAAAUUAAAACUCCAUGAUUAACACAACUUUGAAGUCCUUCUCACUUGUCUUUAGAUGAGGGCAACAUCAUUGCAACAAGUCACACUUAGAGAACUCAAGAGAAUAUGUUUAUUCUGAAAAUCCGAGAAUUAUUGCCAACCCAUGGUUGUCUCCAUAUGUCUUGGGAAAAAUAGGAAAAGGAUUUUUUGAGUUGGUGAUUAGAAUCCAAGACACAAAGAUUCAGGCUCUGGUAAAAAGAUCGUAUAGGCUAUUUUGGCUGACAUAAAAGUAAAAGGCACACAAUGAAAUCUUAAUAAAUGUAUUGGAUGUUGCAGCAUUAACUGAUGAGCCAGACAAUGUAAAGACCUCAGACUACCAAAUGUUUUGAAAGACGAAUAGUGAAUGUGAAACUGUGAACCAAAAUAGAUUUUUAGAAUCCUUGAAAAAAUAGAGCUAGAGAAAGUCUUUGAGACAACUGAUUGCAAAUAUUUGAGUUUACAACUGAGCAAAUGGAGAAAAGAGAAGUGACUCGUCAGUCCAACAAGUGGCAGAAUCAGAACCAGACCCCAAUCCUUGGGUCUUCUGUCCCUCCUGGCACCAAAGUCACCUAUCAUAAGUAACUUGAGUUUCAGAGGGGAAGGAAAAGACUACAAUGUCCCAGCACUGUUCCAGACACUUUUUAGGGGACUCCAAGACACCUUGUGUAAUGCCUAUUUUAAGUAGCUGGAAGAUUCUAUAGCAUGGGAAAAGCCCAUUGAAGGCAAAAGUAAACAUUACCUAUUGUGGUUCUGGAAAAGAAAAUCAUCUCUCAUUUAUCUCCUGGAGCUGUUUGACGAACUUGGCCCUGGUUUUACUUUGGGAGCCACCUUUCUCUUUCAAGUGCUGUCUCAGUGGAAUAGUCAACCAAUGUAUCCUACAUUUUGGACCAGCAGAAGGAAGUAAUGAGAACAGAAAACAAAUAAGAACUGCAUCUGCUCCUGUAUGGAAACCUCUCAAAGGCUUUCAGAGCUGUGACUGGACAGGAGAGAAGGGGUGGACAUCAUCUUCUGGGAAUUCAAAGUUUUGAAAAAGAGUCUGAUGUGUACUUCAGGAGUCACCUAGAACAGUGUUGCUCAUCUUCCAUAAAGGAGAAUAAAUAUAUCUGCCCUUGAAGGACUCUCAUCUGUGAAGUGAAAAUUCACAAAACUUAAAUGGUCCAUAGGAGGGUGAUUUAAAUU